GAUGAACGCUGGCGGCGUGCUUAACACAUGCAAGUCGAACGAAGCACCUUAUUCUGAUUUCUUCGGAAUGAAAAAUUUGGUGACUGAGUGGCGGACGGGUGAGUAACGCGUGGGUAACCUGCCUCGUACAGGGGGAUAACAGUUAGAAAUGACUGCUAAUACCGCAUAAGACCACAGCACCGCAUGGUGCAGGGGUAAAAACUCCGGUGGUAUGAGAUGGACCCGCGUCUGAUUAGGUAGUUGGUGGGGUAACAGCCUACCAAGCCGACGAUCAGUAGCCGACCUGAGAGGGUGACCGGCCACAUUGGGACUGAGACACGGCCCAAACUCCUACGGGAGGCAGCAGUGGGGAAUAUUGCACAAUGGGGGAAACCCUGAUGCAGCGACGCCGCGUGAGCGAUGAAGUAUUUCGGUAUGUAAAGCUCUAUCAGCAGGGAAGAAAAUGACAGUACCUGACUAAGAAGCACCGGCUAAAUACGUGCCAGCAGCCGCCGUAA
rnacentral:rRNA from 1 species